AUACGGAGGAUGCGAGCGUUAUCCGGAUUUAUUGGGUUUAAAGGGAGCGUAGGUGGGAUAUUAAGUCAGCUGUGAAAGUUUGGGGCUCAACCUUAAAAUUGCAGUUGAUACUGGUUUCCUUGAGUACGGUAUAGGUGGGCGGAAUUCGUGGUGUAGCGGUGAAAUGCUUAGAUAUCAGGAAGAACCCCGAUUGCGAAGGCAGCCUGCCAAGCCAUGACUGACGCUGAUGCACGAAAGCGUGGGGAUCAAACAGGAUUAGAUACCCUGGUAGUCCACACAGUAAACGAUGAAUACUCGCUGUUUGCGAUAUACAGUAAGCGGCCAAGCGAAAGCGUUAAGUAUUCCACCUGGGGAGUACGCCGGCAACGGUGAAACUCAAAUGAAUUGGCGGGG
rnacentral:rRNA from 1 species